AGUUCUUCAUAGCGUCUUUAACUUCCAAACUAGCAACAUCUGCAAUUGACCGCGCGUGUGUGACCGCGAACGACAUGUACGUGAUGGUGGUUGGCGCCAAAGGGGACGAGUGUCUUCCGGACGACGAGCAGGUGGACCCAGAGCGUCGGAUACCGGAGAAACUCGGACCCCGGCGAGAUCCAUAACGGAUGAAACGAGGUACGUGGGAUUCUGAUAGUUUUAACACUCUUUUCGAUCAAAUGAGCAUUCUCGCGAAUCUCUAUAUUGUAUAAAUAGAUUGAAUAACGUACUCACAACCAUCUUAUACAAUUUUAACGGCGGCCCCGUCAGCCCCAAUCGCAAACAUUACCAAUCAAAAUACGUUGUUAGCAUCACCACAAUCGAACGAUAACUCUUUCUGGUACGAUUUUCUUAAUAAAUAACCCUUUAAAAAGGCUCAUUAUGCUCAUAAAAUAAAGCACCUACAAAUGCUUUACCACAUCAACAAAGCACUUUAAACUACAACUAUUAGUAGACUGGGCGGCCACCCCUAACACUGAGCCAGCUUACAGCUUGAAUUAUUAAAUUCUAAUGUUUUUUGCAAAUCAAGAAGCUUAAUAAGUAUGACAAAAUGUGCUGAGUGCAUCUAACAUGUAUACCUCUAUUUUGCAACAACAUAAUUUAAAUUGUAAUGUGACAUGCAAUAAACGUUUUUGAAUUUGAAUUUGAACAUGUCACGAGCGUAUCCUGGCUAAAAUUCCUAAUAAGCAUUGUGCGAGGAGCACCCUCCCAGUGCUGGAUUUUUGUUCGGCAAAAUCACCCUGUGCUCGUACUGGUGAUAUC